GUGGCAUUGACGACAGCGAGCUAGGAGCCUACGAGGUAGACGCCCUGCUGACUGUGUCGUCAAGGCCUCCACAUGGCUCCUCUUGCGGCAGACUGCUGGUUGUUUGUCAUGUCCUUGAUCACCCUAAUUUAAUCCAAGUCAGGUUUUUGGGAUGAAUUGAUGACAAGGAGAGCACGUUGGAAAUAGUGGAAGUGGAGACGGGAGAGGAUGAUGGGAACGAUCAAGUACAUCACAAUCAUCGGCAUCAUGUGGCUCUCCUACACCAACGCAAUUCAGGUUUGAUAAUUGAUGAGGGUGGGUGCCAUGGUCGUCUAUGCUGGGCUUCUGCACGAUCACAUCUUCCACAUGUUCGGUGCUGGAGUGGCUGAUCUUGUGGAAGGGUUACGUUUUCCUCUUCUCAUGAAUUUUGACCAUUGUUUUAGAGGGAUUCGGAUAAUGGUUCUGUGAUUUAAAUUAUGAUGGCCUGCAUCAUGCCUCCCUAUAUUUAAGGCAAAUGAUAAUGGAAGUACACCUUCAUGAACAAGCUAGCCGAGGUCUUGGAAUUCCAACCUAGUACACCGGUUCAUGAGAAGAAUGCUGAGAAGAUUCAGCUUGCUGUGCUAAAUGUCAUUCUGGCUUGACUCGAUAAUAUCGUGGUGCAUCUUGAGUAUUUCUCCUCCACGGCGGGUGGUCCAUCUCCAUCGUGGAGUGUUGCUAGAUCAACAACAUCUGGUCUAUUUGAAUGGCACAUUACUGUUCCGAGUCUCCAAGAACCAGCUACAGUACCUAUACAGUAAGAAUCGAACUGCAAAGGAGCUGAACCCUCUGUUGUUUCAUGACUCCCUUAUGCCCUUGCGAGGAGCGGCCACCAUUGGGCAGGGACAGAGCCGUUGAGCGCCCUUGCUCGGUGGUCCACCACCCUUCUCGCCUCCCGUUCGACGCCUCUUCUCCACACCCCUUCGUUCGAUGUGCUUCGACUCAUGAUGUACCAGAGUGGAGUCAGUAUAGAUAUCAGAGGUGCACAUGGGGUCCUCUUUAGUUUUUUUCCUUAAUUGUUAACCAUCUCCAAUUUUAUGUCAACUCUACUUAUUCCAGUUUCAUAGUUGGAGGUAUCAAUGCAAUGCUUUCUAUGUAUAGAUAAUACAUCAAUUUAUAUCUAUCGCCCUGAAGAAAAUGUACAUUGCUGAUACAAAUAAUCUUUAUUUAGUUUACAAACAUGUAAUGAAAUCUACACUACGAAUAAGAAGACUGAAGUAUAGGACGCGCUCAGGGGUGUGCGGCAGCCCAUGGCGGGCAAGGCGUGCUGCAGUGGGGUUAUGGCAGCAUUAUGGUCAUGAGAGAGCUAGCAUGCUCAUUGGUAUAAAUUAGUUACCCUCAUGUGGGCUUAUUUUUUAUUCUAAGUAUUAACAUGCCUUCAAAAUAAUUCUGUAAUAGGUAUAUAAUUGCAGGUUGUUGUGUGAGCUGCACCUAAACUGAGAACUGAAACUGCAAUGAAUUACUUGAAACUUGGUGUCUUUAUAUUUGCCCCAUUUGUUGAGGUUCAGUUUCACUAAAAUGGACAGACCAUGAGCUCCUUUAGGAACUUGUUGGGAAAUGUCGCUUGUGUGGAGAGGCUGGAAAUACGAAGACAAGUAUGUGUUUGAUUAUUUUGAAGCUAUUUAACAUAUUAGUGGUGUCAACGAGGGUGACCCAGAAGUUCCCUUUCAUCAGCAGUUACAGAGCAUUCAGAGUUCCGAGCUCUGUCGACGUCGCCAGCCUUGUGAAAUGCCAACUGGUCGUCGCUUCUUUCGGUGCUGACGGGAAACACGUAGAUGUUACUGGACUGCAAUUACCCGGCGUGCUGGAUGACAUGUUUGCAUACACAGGACCGCUCGGUGCGGUUUUCAGCAAGGACUCUGUGAGCCUGCACCUUUGGGCUCCUACAACACAGGUUUGGCUUCUAAAGACGACACAUUUUACCAUCUCAAGUGUCGCCUCCGGUUCUGUACUAUUCCCGCUUAUAUGUAAAAUGUCCCCAAUAUAUCUUGCCCUGCUCUAGAGACGGUGCAGCUCAAGGAGUCAAAUGGUGUUUGGAGUGUUACUUGACCAAGAGAGUGGGAAAACCGAUACUAUUUAUAUGAAGUUGACGUGUAUCAUCCAACUAAGGCACAAAUUCUGAAAUGUUUAGCUGGUGACCUUUAUGCUAGAGGGUAUGUGGCUGUGCGUAUUUCAGUUAUGUAGUUCAGGGAGAGGAACUUUCAGCAGAAGAAAAAAGUUCAGGGAGAGGAAGAAACUAGCUUGUUGUUUAUUUGAUCAGCCUUUCUGCAAAUGGAGCGCGGACCUGGUUGGUUGACAUUAACAAUGAAACAUUGAAGCCAGCUUCCUGGGAUGAUUGGCCGAUGAGAAGCCAAAACUUGAUUCCUGCUCUGACAUAACCAUCUACGAAUUGCACAUUCGUGAUUUUAGUGCCCAUGAUGGCACAGUGGACAUUGACUCUCGUGGAGGAUUUCGUGCAUUUGCAUACUAGGCCUCAGCAGGAAUGUUUGACUCAUGUGCAUUUGUUGCCAAGCUUUCAUUUUGCUGGCGUUGACGACAUUAAGAGCAACUGGAAAUUUUUCGGUAAGGAAAUAUUUCUCUUUAUAAAAGGUGGUAAGGCACUUUUGAGCUUUUGCUAGAUGUCUAUCAUUUUUUUGUUGGAUAGCAAUGAGUGACAACUACUUAUAAGUACUUGGUUUAAACUGCACCUCUUCAUUUUCGUCUCAUUUACUUCAGAUUGACUUAUUUGGUUAUACGGAACUUCAUUUACUCUGGCAGAUGAGUGUGAACUAGCAACAUUCCCUCCAGG